CUCCUUUCCAGCCAGGCAAGGUUGACCUUGACCAGCGUGCCUAUCAGCAGCUCAAUGGGAUUAAAUGGCUUGCCAGUGUCACAAGGAAAUGUAGGCCUUG